GGCUGGGAUUCACACUGAGCACGUGUGUCUGCCUCGGCUUGGGCUGUUUUCUGGGAUGGACUACCUGAAAUUCAUCAUGUCCACAUCCAUAUGUGUGAAAGUGCAUGAGGAGGACAUGGAAUGAUGCCACAUAUCUUGCUACAAAUAUGUAUAAACAGUUGCUAUCAAGGCUAAAAACAAGAUUUGGACAAAUUUGAACUC
rnacentral:lncRNA from 1 species